rnacentral:rRNA from 1 species
CGAAGCGUGCGAUUGGAUUGCACGUCUAAGCAGUAAGGCUGAGUAUUAGGCAAAUCCGGUACUCAUUAAGGCUGAGCUGUGAUGGGGAGAAGACAUUGUGUCUUCGAGUCGUUGAUUUCACACUGCCGAGAAAAGCCUCUAGAUAGAAAAUAGGUGCCCGUACCGCAAACCGACACAGGUAGUCAAGAUGAGAAUUCUAAGGUGAGCGAGCGAACUCUCGUUAAGGAACUCGGCAAAAUGACCCCGUAACUUCGGGAGAAGGGGUGCUCUUUAGGGUUAACGCCCAGAAGAGCCGCAGUGAAUAGGCCCAAGCGACUGUUUAUCAAAAACACAGGUCUCUGCUAAACCGUAAGGUGAUGUAUAGGGGCUGACGCCUGCCCGGUGCUGGAAGGUUAAGAGGAGUGGUUAGCUUCUGCGAAGCUACGAAUCGAAGCCCCAGUAAACGGCGGCCGUAACUAUAACGGUCCUAAGGUAGCGAAAUUCCUUGUCGGGUAAGUUCCGACCCGCACGAAAGGCGUAACGAUUUGGGCACUGUCUCAACGAGAGACUCGGUGAAAUCAUAGUACCUGUGAAGAUGCAGGUUACCCGCGACAGGACGGAAAGACCCCGUGGAGCUUUACUGUAGCCUGAUAUUGAAAUUCGGCACAGCUUGUACAG